CAUCAUGUUUUGUGUUUUGAUGCUGUAUAUUACACCGUCAUCUAUUAUCUGUUCUUUUAGAUGAUGAAAUCUAAUUACUUGAAUGGUGUAUUUUGGCAUUAAAACUCUAUCCAGUUGAAUCUCCCCUCUACUUCUUAUACUAGAGCUAAAAUCGCAAUGCUAAGUGAAAGAGCACCAGCAACUUUGGGUCUAUCUCUUUAUGUGUUCGGUAGCUGCUUUGUUUUUGGAAUCAAAUGAAAGUGUGAUUUUAUUUCAUUUGUAAAAUUUCAUAAUAUUUUAUUUACAAAUGUGUAUAUUUGAAAUGAAGGUAGACUUGGAUUUAUGUUUAAGUAAUGUAAAAUUCAAAUACUCAUAAUUUCAUGUCUGAACGCAUUUUCCCUGAUUGGCAAAAAAAUUGUGAUAUGGUGGUUGAUUUGUAUACUUAUUAAAGAAUUUAUUAUUUUCUCAAUGUUUUGAGUAUGGAUGUGCAUUCAGGAAGAUUGAAGACUUGGAGGAUGGCAGCUAAUGAGGAAGGAGAGGAGAAUACUUCUCGUGGAAAUGAGUGGGAAGUUGUAUCACUUACAGCAUCAACAUAUGCUGCUGCUGGUGCUUCUGGUCCAGAAGUUGAACUGAAGUAUGAAAACAAGGAUAAUGCACAUGGAGAGGAUGAAGCAGAAACUUCUCGUGCUUUGUUCAUGUCUGGUCAUUUUGUCUUUCCACCUAGCCAGCAUGAGAAUUUGCCAUUGGAUCCUGAUAAUAGUGAGAUUCUCAAUGAACAAGCUGGGGAGAAUGUUGCCUCUGAACAGGGUGCGGAAGAAGGGGAUAAAUCUGGCAGAAAGGAUGAAGAAAACUUUAAACUUAAGGAGUUGAAUGUAUCUGAAGAGUUUCCUGGGAUACAGUUUUUUGAUGACAAGGAGCAGAGUAUAUACAGUACAUCUACUUUUAGUUCUUUGCACAGUGAAACUGGACUCAGUGGAUCAGCUGCAUAUGGAGAGAACCUGGUUAUUCCUGUAGUAAAUGAACAGGCUAAAGAGGAGUUGGAUUUCUCAACAGACAUUUGUCACUCCCCAAAGCCUGCUAAAGAUGGUAAAGAUGAUGGGUCUGACCUUCCAUGUGAGGCUUGGUGGAAGAGAAGGGCAACUUCCUUGUACACUCAUGCAAAAGAGACAAAUGCAUUUUGGUCCAUUUUUGUUGCAGCAGCAGUUAUGGGCCUUGUAAUUCUUGGACAGCGCUGGCAACAGGAGAGGUGGCGGGUUUUGCAACUCAAGUGGCAGGCUAGCAUUAAUGAGAAAAGUGGCAGGAUGCUGGGGCCUAUAUCACGUCUUAAGGAUGUGAUUGUGGGUGGCCAUCGCCGUGGAUCCCUUAUCAGGGGAGGUUCCUCAAAUGAAAAUUAAGAUGAUGAUGAAAAUGUUAAAGAGAUUGUUUCAGGGUGGUUAUUAUUGUAUUUUGCUGUGUGGUUGACCUAUUUUUCUAAUGACAAAGCUCAGUAAGUUUUACUUGUGUAAUUAAGGUGGCAUAUUGGUUUGUGGGGGAAAGUAUGGCAAUUUAAUUUCUUUGGAGAAUGGUGGGUACAUAACUGAGCAUCUAAAUAUCAAUAAUUAUUAUUUUAUUUCGGUAGUCACGAAGGCUUUCUGUCGAGACUUUGAAGCCAUUCAAGUGUAGCAUGCCACUAAAAAACCUGCCCCAAUCAUAUAUACAUUUAGGUGAGAGCCUAGGAAAUCUCUUUCGAAUUUGUAGAGCAACUGUCGUUUACGCGACAUUCUUCACUGUUCAUACGCCCGGCUCGAAGCGAAAACUUCUUCUGCCUCUCUCAACGCCUAGACAUGAUAGGAGAAUGUUAAAAAUAUUGUUAUAACUAUUGGCCCGUUUGAUUCUUAUAUUAGAAUGGGAAUCAAUAUUGGAACCCUGAAAUGAUGAAUUUUUAUUUAUAUUUGAUUCAGUGUG
rnacentral:misc_RNA from 1 species